GGUUCAUCCCCACACCUGCGCGGGGGUUGGGGGUGGAAUGUGGACCGUGCAUUCCAGCGCUGGGGCCAGCGGGGGAGAGCUUCCACGUAGGGGCUGCGUGAGGAGCUCAGCCGCCCCGCACACCGAAGAAAAAGGUUCAAGCGUGCGGACCCCGCCCGCCCUCCAGGGAGCGGCCCGGCCAGGCCGAGGGCAAGGCAGUGGAGUACCUGAAGGAGGAGGCACACUAGAGGCCUGCUAAGAAGCCCCAUAACUGCAGAGGGAAGGGUGGAAAAGCUGCCGGGAUAGCGGACUGGGGCUUCGUGAAGCUCUCUGCACCCCUUUGAGCGCCGCGGCUCGCGGGAGCCAGCGGGAGCGAGCCAGCCUCCGCAGCACGCGAAGAAAAAUGUUUCUGUGCCCUGAGGCUACGGUGGAAAAAAGUGGAGACGCAUCUGAACCCGACUGGAACAGGCGCUCGUGCGGGCUCCUCCGAGGCGCUCUGUUAUCCAAAGUUUUGA